rfam:Danio rerio chromosome 10, GRCz11 reference primary assembly.
AUAAAAAGUCUUUGGAUAAGUCGCUUUGGAUAAAAGCGUCUGCUAAAUGACUAAAU